GCGGCAGGACGGGCGAGCGCAGCCACAGCCUGGCCCACUUACCCCGAGCCGGGGGCGCACCCCCGUCAGACCCGGGGCGGGAGAGUGGGGGGGUCAGCAGGAGUAGGUCCGGACCGUGGAGGGCUCCAGUCUCUGCGCCCCCGCCGUCCCGGCUGGCAGGAGUCGGCAGCGGCGGGAGAACACACAGAGCGCGGUGAGACCAGAACACACGGACAAUGAUUGGUCAGGUGACCAGAGACAUGCUCCUCCAGAGGAUACAGGGAGCAACCUCCACUCUCUGCUCCCCAUCGAUGCCAACCGAUUCUCCAAUCACCUCUCUGCAGAGGGUCCCCAGAGCCCCAAUCCCACAGGAUGGAUCACUGGACAGGCCGCCCAACACUCCUAACAGAGCCACAGCUCACUGCCUUGUAGCCAAGCCUCAUCUUCCAGCCUGUGUUUUCAGAACUGCACAGGCCCCGUGACUCGGUUAGGGUGAGCAGGAACAAGGCCACUGACCCCUGUUCUUGUUUCAAUGACUCCUCCCAUCUCCGGUGCCUCUGGAUUUGUAAUCUAUGCCCUUGGGGUGACCAACGCCCUAGUCACUUGUCAUAGACCCAUCCCAGAAGCACUUGGAUGCACUUUCAAGAUUUUUUUCGGGGGGGGGGGGGUUGGG
rnacentral:lncRNA from 1 species